CCCACACACACCAGUGUAAACAAACAUGGCAUUUGCAAAAGAAGGUGAUAAUUACGUGGCUUAACGGGGCGAGAACAACAUACGAUAUGUACGCUCCCAUCGCUCACGUUAAAGAGCCAGUUCGUUCAUUUGAACUGUUUCGUUCGCGGCCAACACAUCGUUACAGCAAAGAAAGGGAGAUACUGCUUUGUCCACAGAGGGCGCCAAAAUCAACAGACACCAAAAGUUUGUGUUGAGAAGCUGUAGCCUCUUUACUUCCAGAGUGAAAAAGAAAUUCUCAUUUUGGAUGUUAUGCGAUCUUUUUUCUAGGAAAUUAUCAAAAGUGAAGAAAUUAGAGAUUACAUCAUGUUACAAUAUCAUGAGGCCUCUGAUCUGAGGUGCUGUGUGUUUCAGUUGUUGCUUUAAAUACUUCUGAGUUUCCUUCUUAUUGGAAAAGAAAACAGAGAAAGAGUCUCUAAACUUUAAAAUAAAGUCAGCGAAAAAUAAAUGAUUUGUGCAGCAACAGCCUGACUAAAACAUUACAGCGUUGCCAGGACUAAAAUUGUUUUUCUAACAAAGUACCUCAACAAGUCAUAAAACAAUAAAAAGUAUGGUAUAUGUAACCAUAGAUAAAGAUGUUAAAUCAAGAUAUUUGUCAUUCUGAAAGAGCUGAAACAUAUUGUUCCUUUUUGUAUGCUGAAAAUCGCGUCUUCAGGGAUGAUAAGUCGCUCUCGCUCUGUAACCGUCUCUCUGAAGAAGUUCAAAGUAAUCAGCUGAAAUUCUUAACAUGAGCAGCUCUAAUGUUUGGACGCUUGUCACAGUCACAACUCAUUUCUGUCACACUCACCUCAUGGAGGGAAGAUAGGAGCCGAGCGAUUUUUCAUUGUGAACUCUGUGAACUGCAUCCUCGCUGCGAUUCAGGAGGUCGGGCUCACACAGGGGGAAAAAAACACAAAAAAACUGUGCAGAUAGACGAGGGAGAAGUGUGUUUGGAUACUCUGCAGCAGCUUGACGGCUGUGCAUGAUUUAAUCAAGGUAACCACAAUGGAUCAUUUUGCAUAAUGGCGCAUCACUUUUCAAAUUAGAGGCUGCAGAUGGAACUCACAUAUGUGUCCUGCUGCCUUCAGGGACAGGUGAGGGCUUCAUAGUUGACAAACAGAGAGAUUCAGAUACAAACACACAUUAACCUUUUCCACUUGAAAUGAUCUAAUCGUCGGUACUUAUUUUACAGGUUACAGGUCUUUUUUUAGGAAACAUGAUAGUAACAAUAAUAUUUGCAGUGCUGGUGGUUUGGAUGGGGUUUGGGUGGUGUGGUGCACAACCAGUGGGCAGUUUUCUUUUUCAAAUGCACCAUAUAGGAAAUAAAGAAACUGUACUAAACACAAACUCAUGUCAUCAAACCAUCUGGGAAAGUUAUCCAACAUGGAAGGUCUGGGCGAUAAACUGAAAAUUUACCGAUACUGAAAUUUACGACAAUAACCAACGUCAUUUUGCCCAUAUCGAUAUAUUUGGUGUCAAAAAAACAAAUAAGUAAAAGUUGGUGGAGAGGUGAGGAGAUGGAGGACGGUUCAAAAGUUGUAGCGGCUGAAGUAGACAAAGGUAAUGUGGGAGGGGGUGAGCAGCUUGUGGAGUAGUUAUCAUCCAUUUAUCGUUAUCGAGGUGAACAGCUUAAUAUGUGGUGAUAUUGAUUUGAGGUCAUGUCACCCAGCCCUACAACAUGGCAUUGUGGAUUUUAAGGCACUGUGUGGACUCUUUAAAAAGCACUUGCCUUAUAGUAUCCAGUCCCUUAACUGUGAUUAGAAAAUUUAUGAAUUAUAGGACAUACUGUAAGACAUGAUAGUGCAAGAGAGUGUUGAUAUAAGAGCGUAAAAUAUGAGUAAGAAAAGGGAGCAUUGGAAAAGGAAUGAUGUAUUGAAUGAAAAAAGGCCUUUUCUUACACUCAGGAUCACAGCACAGGCUUCUUGGCUAUAUUCCAACCAACACGGUCAGCAUUUUUCACUCAGCUCUCAGGUUGUGUACAUACUAAACAAACUUGCGCCCACAUUUGUGCCUGUGGACAUGUUGAUUUUUAAAAAUAAAUAGCAAAUCAGCACUUGAAUGCUUAUGCUGCUGAAUGUUAUCUGCUCCUUUAUUUUUGGUGACUUGUUUAUUUUAUUUUUUGACUAUUUUUAAGUGAUUUUAGUGUCGUUGAUUUUAAGCGAGUUUGUUCUAGAUUUUUUUAUAUGUAUUUUUUUGUCUUUUCUGUUGCACAGCUACAGGCUAGAGGAACAACUUAUCAUCUUUUCUAUGUAUGCAGAUACAUGCAGAAUAUGAGGAAUAAAAUAAAUAUUGGACCCUGAAAUCUUAAGAUAUGAUCAGACACAGCUGCGUGCUGCUAUUCUUGACAGGAAAAUAGAGAAAGUAGGAAACUUGGAAGAGAUUGGGAGAAAUGGCAAAUGCAGCUAAGGGUCUCAGAAUGGAAUUAAAAUCUAACAAAUCAAAAUCUGCCCGGCCCCUGUAUGUGAGGCGUGUGUUUUAACCACUGAGCCUGAACUGAGCAAUUAUUAUUUCUAUCCUGCUAUUAAGAGGGUGCAUUUGUGGGAUGGUUACAAGUUCACAACAUGAAUUCAGCAGUGCCCUUUACCACAGAGAAAUAACAGUGGCACUGAUAAAGUAGAAAACAUUUUAUAAUUGGAGGAUUGUUUGGUUUUACCUCUCUUAGGGGAAUAUGAUUGUGGCCAGAACUGAGAUCAUGGUUAUUAAUUAGGAAUGUGUUUAUUGUGCUGGUUUACCCAGAGGUUCAAGUUCAGACCUCAUGCUCCAGCUAAAGUCAUCAUAGGGACAGUUGCUAAUUCAGUGUCUAAUAAAGGCAAAAAUAUCAUCACCACACAAUCAAACAAAUGCGUGUAUAUUGUGUGUAUAUAUAUAUAUAUAUAUAUAUAUAUAUAUAUAUAUAUAUAUUAUAUAUAUUAUAUUAUAUAUUUUUCAAAUUUUAUUUAUUUUUUUUUUAAUAAAAUAAAUAAUAUUUUUUUUGGGGGGGGGUAUAUUGUAACUUUUUAAUUUUUGUUUGGCAUAUAAAUUUUGCUUCUGCUGAUUUAGUCCUUAAGAAGUGUUCAUGAAUGUAUUUUCAUUAUAAUGUCUAUUUAAUGAAUAAGUUCUUCCUUUUAAAUAUAAUAAAGAAUUAAUAAAGGAGAAGAAAAAACAAAACAAAAACAAAGUUAAAUCCCUCCCCUGUUGCUGAAUCUGGAUUGUUUAUACAACACUUGAUCAUACUGUAGCGUGGUUCCCUGCGCUCACUUUGUACCUCUACUUUACUAACACACAUCUGAUGGUUCUGCUCCCUAUCUGCUUUGCUGCAGAGGUUUUUUUCUGCACUCUCAGUUUUGGAUGUGCUGAAGAUACUCUGCGAGGACGUCCUCACCUCUACACCCUCACACUGUGUGGGGUUUUCAGCUCCGGACCCACACACUGGGCUGUAUUGGGCUAAUUCAGUUACAGAGCAGAAAGGGUCUGCAGUUCAGAACAGAGUGAACAGAGCGCAGGUGAUUUUGUUGACACUGUAAUCGAGGUGUUAAUUAAAUCGAGCAGUUGUAUUGAAUGGACUGUACACGUGUACUCGAUAAAGUGGCCUCUCUAAAUGUUGUUCGUCAGUAUUUUAAAGUGAAAACUUUCAUUUUAAUCUGCCUCUAUUGAUGAAUCACACAACUGUGAGGGAUUCGUCCUCCUUUCUGUGUCCAUUCAUCAGAUGCGCCUUGCUUCAAAAUGCCAUCAUUAAUCUUACGUUAUUGCUCGCAUUUGUUUUGUGUUUAAAUCUAAAAUAAUUCACAUUUCAAGGUCUGGAAAACAGGAGGAAAACUGAUGCUACAUGUGCUUUUCAUUCCUCCCAAAUCUCAUUCUUCACUUUCUGAGGGACUUUUAAUUUGCUUGUUUUUUUCUGCUUGAUUUAUUAUUGUAUAUCUGCCUCUUUCUCCUCUAAACUUCAUAUUUUUCUCCAUCUUUCCCCUCUCUCUGACUCACUUUUCUUCACCCUCAACAUUUCUCUUUUUUGCCUUCCUCUUUCCCGGUGUUAUCCACUCGCCUCCCCUGAUGCAGCAAAAUUAAUUAGAGCUCAUCCCAUUAACUCAGACUCGGCCUGUGCAGGAACAGGCGGAGAGGUGUGUGUGUGUGUGUGUAAGAGUGUGUGGAUGUGUGUGUGUGAGCUCAGCGAGAGAUGCUGUAAGGACGCAAUGUACCCACCUGAGCUCAACUCCUUCCCUCCCUUGGGGACCUCGAGCCCACAGGGACAAACGGUGGGAGAGAUUAGUAAUAUGAUGAGAAGAGGGGGAAACAAGGAAGGAGGGAGGAUUGGAGGAAAGAUGGAGGAAAUAUGAAAAAUGUGGGUAUGAAAAUCAGGUUGUUAUUAAGGAUGAACAUAAGGACAACAGGUGGGUUGUUAUCUUGAUUAUGCAACUGAUGCAAAGAGGAUUAUUAGACAGACUUAAGCUAUGGUUGUGUUUUAUUAGCUUUGAUUGACAGGCGGCUUCUUGGAAGUGGAGUGAGAAACACGACUGCAGGGGAGAAGAAACUUGUAAUGGAGGUUAGAGGACAAAAUGACAGAAGAGGACAGUUGAGAAAAAGGCAAUUGAUGGAAAAAGAGAAAAACAGGAGAGAGAAAAUUAAGUAAUUAGAGAAGAAACAAGAGUAGGUGGAGAAAAGAGGGAUACACAAAUAGAAAGGGAGGUAUACAGAGGAUUGGAUCAGCACUUUUGGAAACUAUAAGGGAAAGAAGUUCGCUUGAUGUCACUUUGUGAAUCUUUAAGAGUGACCCCAUCACUGGAGUAACUUUAGGCUGUGCAGAAAGUUCAGUCCACCCGAGCCCACGCUUUCAAGAGGGCUCAUGAUGGACGUCAGCAUCCGUCAUUGUUGUGAUGGGGUCGAGUGAGAAGCAGCGGAUUGAUUAGUGACUUCAAGUUUCAAACUCCAGAAUAAAAGUUUUUAUACUAUGCUUUUAGCCAGAACAUCGACAGUUUUAGAUCAGUUUUAGGACCUUUUAUUCUUCAGUGUUAUGAAACUACAUAUUUAGCUUAAUGAGCAUACUCUGUAAUGCUCAAAGGUAUUCAUUCUGCAUUUCCCGUUUUCACCACCAGGUGCAGUAUACUCUUCUAGGGCAGUGGCGAUUAUUACAAUAUUUCAUCCAUUCAUCCAUUUUUUACCGCUUAUCCACGUUGGGGGUCGUGGGGGGUCUGGAGCCUAUCCCAGCAUCUUCAGGCGAAGGCAGGGGGCACCCUGGACAAGUCACCAGUUCAUCGCAGGGCUGACAUAUAGAGACAAACAACCAUCCACGCUCACAUUCACACCUACAGGUAAUUUGAAAGCGGCCAAUUAACCUAACUUCACUUAAGGUCCUUUCACACCGGGACCAUUUUUAUCGUGCGAUUAUUUCGGACAUCAACAUUUUUUUUCCAACCCGUAUCCUGUCAAUACAAGCGUUCACAUCAGCGACGUUUUCCCGUUCAACGAUAUUGUGGCAUUUAUUUUUGAGGCGUCACCGUCAAUUAUUGAUUUUAUCCACAAAGUUGCAUCAAAUAACCCUGAAUCCGAAUCUGACGUCAUAGUGCAGCCACGCGUUGUUUACCUCUCGUCUUGGUCGGCCGGGCAGCGACUCAAGGUUAGGAUGGAGGAUGAGGAGGUUCUGGUUCCAAAGCCAUGUACCACGGCACUGCUGUGGGUGCAUUUCAGAUUUAAGCGGAACGAUAAAGGAGAGCCUGGUAAUGUGGAGGAAGUGAUAUGUAAACUUUGCCAUAAAAAGUUCCAAUCAAGAGCGCUAACACAACAACUCUGAAACAGCAUCUGAGAUGUCAAUUCAGAAGGGAAAAAAUGGACAAUAUAUAUAAACGUCCAUCAUAAUUAUUUGCCUGACAAAUAAUCGUCUCCAGAAAUUUCUAAUCGUGACAACCGUAUUCUCUUCCAUGCAGUAGCUGGCCUCAGAUAAGGUCAGACGACAAUACAGGCUGAUAACCAUCAAAUUGAAACAAAACAUGGAGGAUACUGAUCAUCAAAGGACAGUAAAAGAGAAAAGAAAGGACAACUUAAUUAAAUGAAGUGGAGAAAAAUAAUCAAGUGACCCGCGCAGAGAGUGAAUUAGUCCGGCGCUCCUCUUAUAGGUUCUAAUUUGUUUGCUUAAAGAGAGGACAGAGGGAAGUGGUUUAGGAGAGAUGAGCAUCGGGCUGCGUAAUGAGAACAACACAUCAUCAUCAGCUCACCUCACAUCACUUCCCCCUAGCCACCUGAGGACACGACACACACUCACACACUCUUGAAAACGCCAUCUGUUCAUCUGCCUGAUGUCAACACUUUGCUCUGGGUCUAGCUCCACCUCCUCCCGGCACACUCGUACUCGCCCAAACACACAUCCAGCUAACCGUUAGUUUCAGUGUGAACUCUAACCCGGCUCAUUGACAGUUGGUGUUUGUCUGUCACGGGUGGAGGAGGCUGCUUACCCUUUUGCAAUAUUGAUCGCUGACAAAAUCUGGAGGGAAAUGUAGUUCACCUGACGACUCAUAAUGCUCUGAUAUGAGUUUUCUAACUUUCGUUCAUGACUAUCAAAUCAGUCAGUGGUCCAAAAAAUCUAUUUGCUCAUAAAAACACGAUCUAAUAAAAACUGACAGUGUUAAAGAUCCACCAAAGGCAAACUAAAAUGUGUUAUUUGUCUUUGUCUAAGGCUUCAUCUUUAUUAGUUAAACAGAAAACGUUCUGUUUGGUAUAAUGUUGAUUUAAGAGGGAGUAUCGCUAGUGGACUGUCAUAUCAAAUAAAUCCAAGGAAUAAAGACCGGUAUGUUUAUAGAGUUUAUAAUUUCACCUCUUCCUCUUCAUAAUAGGAAAAAAUCUGAGGUUUUAACUAGGGAUGCAUGGAUCCGAUAUCUGGAUCGGACAGCGGCUCCGACAUUAACAAAUUAAUUGGAUUGGAUAUCUGAUGAUUGAUGCCAAUCCAGCAUUCUGAUUCAGACUUUUUUUUCUUUUAAUUAUUUUUUCUUUAAAUACAUGGAAGUUUAGGAGCUACGCUGUUACAUUCACGUUACGUUACCCGCGCUACUCGCUAUACAGACCGUGUGUAAGCCUAAACAUUACCCUUCACCUUAAUGGAAGAGGGUCCGACAGGAUUUGAUGCUCUCGUUGAUGACUCAAAAAAAGUUGAAAAUAACGUCCUGUGUUGUUGUGCUCAAACAGUGCAUGUAGAAAUCAUUAGUGGCCCAUUGAUAUUAAUGAUCAUGUGAAAUUUCAGUAGCUGCGCACGUAAUUUAUGUAGGGGAAACACUGCUACAUAUGAGUCCGAAGUAGAACUAUGUGAGAUAAAACUAAUUUGUUUUUAGGUGUGGCGACUUUUAUUUAGCCACGAUCAAUCGCAUGUAGAGGAAACCAUGCACUAGCUUAAGAUUCAGCCAGUAUAAAAAAAAAUUAACUUCAUUGUUGAUACGAUACAUCUUCAGGAAACCCUGAACAACGGUGCAAAACUCUCUGGCCAACCCUUAUGUAGAUUCUGACAUUUUACACCAAAUAUGCUGACUCAGAUGUCCUGUAGAUGCAACACAACGAGGUCACUAGAGCACCUAUGUCAGGCAGUUUCAUUCUCAGAGGAACAUGAAUAUAUUUACAAAGGUGUAAAUAUAUUCAUGUUUUAAGGGAACAUCAUGCAGGUCUGGACUACCAUCUAUCUUUCGGAAGCUGCACUGCUCCACCAUGUAGAUGAACUAUGAUGAUAUAUAGAUACUUGGUAAAAGCUAAGGAGACCACUGAAGUCAGCGGGGGUUUAUUCUUGGGGGAUUAUAUCAGCUGACUUAUUUUCGUGUGAACGGUGCACUUUGUGGAUAUUUUAAGUGAACCAACUUAACACAUAUUCAUAUUCUAGAGGGGGGUGUUUCAGCAGGUUACAUGAGGGCACUGUUACGAUUAAUAAUUAACGUUUAAAGUUAAACCGGAGCCUGAAUUAUUGAGUUUAACAUGAAGGUUUUAAUCACUUGCCUUCUGUGCGUGUUCAGUGUGUGUUUAUGUGUGUUUGCAUGUAGUGUAUAGCCUGACUUCAAGGACACAGAGCUGGGUGAUCCUAUUGACAGUCUGAGGGAGAGGAAGACACAGAGAAGGGAGAUAGAGCAGGGUUAAUGGUUGAUUCAUCUUGUCUUUGAAGUGCUCUUCAUUCCCUUCAUAUGAAGAAUCUCCUCUCAGAUGAAAGUGGAGUCGAGCUUGAGAGGAAAGUGGAAAAGUGGAGUUGAGAGGCGGUGGAGGUUUUUGAUGGAGACAUCCAAUUGAUAGGGUCAUAGUUCCCCCUCCUCGAUUUCCAUCUGCAGCCUGUCACUCACGCCUUCAUUUCCUGCCCGCCUGUCUACCUGCCUCACCUGUCUGCAGGUCACAUUCCCUACUUUACAAAUUUUAUUCAUUUUAUCAGCGAUGGCAGACUGGACAAAUAAAAACUAAUGAGUUUGUGGGGUUAUUUCCUCUCCAACAUAAACACAUGUCUCUCUCUGCGUGUAACCGUCUUCCUCUCUAACUCUCCGGGAUGACCGGCCCAUCUCAUGAAAAAGCCAAACACCCUCGCGUGCCAAAGAGAAACAUUACACAGCUGCUCCCUGCCACGCUGGCACACAUCAGCCACACUCAGGUUUUAAUUUCUCUGCAUGACACCACAUGCAGCGGAGUGCACUUUGGUUUGUGUGCAUGCAUGAGAGACAGAGAGAAACCGUGUUUGAUUCAAAACCACCAAAAAUAUGCCAACAGGCUACCAGACCUGCAAUGAAAAACACAGAUUUUUGUGUUAAAAAUACAGCUGUGAAAUAAAAAGAAUUUACACACUGAUGUACAGCCUACAUUGUUGUUACUAAACCUCGACAACAUGAAUCCACCAUAGUUAUUAAAUUAUCUUUGAUUUAACAGAAGAAGCAUAAGAUUUAUGCAUCAUUAUGACCCUAUAAAAAGAGAGCAGUGUUAAAUAAUGUUGCCGCCAGACUUGACAACCUCAAUCCCAGCACACUUUGUGGAGCCCAACCAGGACAAUCUGGCUGCAGACCUCCACUGUCAGGAUCCACCUCCACUCAGCAGACUAGAACUAAUAUUUGAAGCCUUUCAAAAUAAAAGCAAAUACACUGGGAUUACUGUAAUUUUUUUAUUUUAUUUUAUUAUUAUUAUUAUUAUUUUUCCGUCAGAGGUUCAAUCAAAGCCUUUCAAAAUAAAAGAAAAUAUAUCAGAAGUUUUUUUUUUACGCCAGGAGUUGAUUUGAAGCCUUUCAAAAUAAAAGCAAAUAUAUUGGGACUAAUGUUUUUUUUCCCCAUCGGAAGUGGAUUCCUAGCCUUUCAAAAUAAAAGUAAAAAUACCGGGAGUAUUUUUAUUUUUCUACAUCGGGAGUUGAUUUGAAACCUUUCAAAGUAAAAGCAAAAAUACUGGGAGUACAUUUUUCUUCAUCAGAGGUUGAUUUAAAACCUUUUAAAGUAAAAGCAAACAUACCAGGAGUACCUUUUUUAACUUUGAAGGAUGAUUUAAAGCCUUUCAAAAAGCCUUUUUUUAAAUUUUUUUUUUAAAUGUUUUUUAUUUCUCUGGGCUUUAUUUUAUGUAUAUAAUAUUAAUAGGACUCUUUUGUAUGUCUUUAUGUGUUCAACAUAGACAAAAUACAAAACGGGAUGACCCAUUCAAACAAACUGGAGCGUGUGAGAAGAAACAUCACCUCAGGUCCUCACGGUGGAGGUCUGCAACUAGACCCUUGUCAGCUCAACAGCUGCUUGCUUCUUUGUGCGCCAUCUUCUGUGUAAAAUCCGUAACACAACUGAAUGCCCACACCUAAUUUUAUGGUGUACAUAGUGCUUAUUAUUUGCUUAUAAUCUGAUCCCUCCACGUUGAUGAAUAGUGCUCCAUUCAUCUGAUUCCAAAUGGAGAGUUUAAGGGCAAGCCUUAUUUCUGUAUUCAUUAUUGGUGCGUAACGAACUUGAAUAUAUUUAUAUUAUUAUAUUUAUAUUAUUUAUAUUUAUGUAUUUAAGUUCAAGGUUUUGGAGUCCUGUAGCUUUCAGGGAGUAAAAAGUUUCACCACAUCUGCGUGGGGAUUGAUUGUUUUUAGGAUGAGAAAGUUUUGUUCUUGCUGAAGUUGGAGAGUUUGUCGAGGAAUUGGCAAUCUUAGGACAAAAAAAAAAAAUCUAUCAAAUUUUGUUUUGGCUCUUUGUGGAUUCAUGAGAAACGAGGCAGGUGUAGUUGGUUUAUCAUUAAUACACUAUGUGCAGAAACAAUUAACCGGCAGACGGACACAAAAACGCGCGCUCGCAUAGCAGCUGUUACUCCAGUUCUUUAGUGUAAUUGUGCGAUGAUGUGUGUGAGGUAAACUGUAAGUAUUUUGACUCUGAUUUGCAUAACAUAGCCGCUGUGUGUGUGUGUGUGUGACAGCGCUGGAUUGGGAUUGUGUCUUUCAGAAUGAUGAUAAAUCUGCUAUGAAAAAAAGAAAGGAUAAAAAGUGAGAAUAAGAUGAGAAAGGAUGAGAAAAUGUAGAGAAAGAAGGUUUGAGAAGAAAGAGGAGAAAAAAAUCAAUCAGGAUGUAACCAAAAAAAGAGAGAGAGAGGCUAAAAAGAGCCAAAAAAGAAGAGCAGAAGAGAAACAGAAGUGCCAGACAGGAGAAGGAGGGAUGGAUGCAUCACAAUAAACAAACAGAGGUGGAAGUGAAGGGAACAGAGGCCCCGAGAGGAGAAAGGAGGGAUAGUGAAGGAGAAGAAACAGGCAAGAGGGAGAGAUAGCGAGCUCCCACUGCAGGUAAACACUGAGCAGGAGAGGACGGGAGGAGAGGAGAUAGUAAAGCUUCUCCAGCAGGACUAAAAAGUUAUAAUGAGAGAGUAGAGGAGGAGUUGAGGGACGGAGAGAAUAUGAGAAGAUAACAUCUUUCUCUUUCUGUCUGGUUGGUUCAGAUGCUGACUGUUAUCUCCUUAAGGACCCAAACUCAGGCGUCUUGGAGUAAGCAUAUUAAUGAGAGAUGAUGUAGGAAAGGACAGAAGGACUGAGUGAAUGAGAGAAAGAUGAACUGCACCCCUUUUGUCUCACUCUCCCGGUGUCACUUGCUCUUUUUCCUCCUCUGCUCCCUCACAUUUGGUGGGUGGUGGCUGGUGGGCGGCGUACAUGGACAGAGGAGUGGGUUGGCAGCCCUGUGGCGCUGACAGCUCCUGAUAGAGCUGUUCUAAUGGGAGCAGAUGAUGAUUGACGGCCGAGCGGCGAGCUGACAGCACAUAAAGGUCACAUUAGCUCCCACUGCGAUAAAUAGAGGAAAAGAUGGAAAGAGGCAGAGAAGGAGAGAGUGAGAAGAGGCAGGUGGAUGAGCGUAAAAAAUCGGAGGAGAGACAGACAGACAGGCAGAUGCACAGAUGAGAUACUAUUAGAAAGGAUGUGAAAAUAAAAUCUCACCAAACAGAGAGGGGAAGAAAACAUGAUGCUAAUGAAUAAAAACCCAGGCAAUAGAAAUGUCCAAAAUAAAAACGAGACAAAUUAUUGAACGAAGUAAAGAAGGAUAAAGACUGGUCUGGUGUGGGUGGUUGGAUGGGUCGGAUUAGUAUUGGAUCAAUACUCUCCCUCUGCUAUGUAAGGGAUCAUAGUCAGCUGGCGGUAAUAUCAAAUGCAGUCCUAACUGGGUGUGAAAAGUCCCCAAGUCUGCAUCUAUUUUAGGUUAUCUGUUUUCUUCAGUUUGUUUGAUGUCUCAGGUCCUUGUGUGUUUUAACAUCGCUUGUAAAUUUCUGUAAUGUUUGAAGCUUCUUGUCUGUAUGUAUUAACCACUGACCAAAAGCUUUAUGCUCUUAAAGAAUAGCCUGAGAGUCAUAUUAAAAAGCUUGACUUCAUGUUGUUUACCAGUGCCAUCAUCGGAAAGUAAUGUUUUUGCCACAUAGUCAACAGGAAGAUGGGAAUCACUAACAGAGUAAUAGAUGUGCUGUUCAGGGGUCAUGGCCAAUAAGAUCAAACAAUAACCACAGCCAGAUAGUUUGAGUGUGUUUAAUUGUUGAGUCUGCACUUCUGUUGGUAUUCAAGGUAAACAUGGCUGGUGUUAAGUCUGUAUAAAAGUUGACUCUUCAGACAUACGCACCCACAGUCUACCUUGGCUAGCUUCUUUUUUUUUUAUUACUCACCGCUCUCUUAUUAAUAACACCUCUUCUCAGGACCGUGGGUGUGGAUUAACUAAGCUUGAGUGACAUCUCCAUCAGACUAGAUUUUCUGCCCAUGAUAAAGUGAGAACCACUCAUGCUAAGUGGGCUGAUGGAUGUGUUGGGUAAGUGUGUAUCAACUUCCUCAGAUGCUGAAAAAAACCGAAAAAAAAUCCUUUACUCGAGGUGAAGCAAUUCUCAUUUUAUAAAAAACAUAUCAAAUAUGGGUGAUGUGGUUAAUAUGUAGGUGGUUUUAUUGGUAUGUGCUUCUUUGAAAUGGAUAAUUGUUGAUUUUUAUUUAGUUUAUUAAUACUACUUUAAAGAAAGCUAAAUGUUCCUCUAAGUGGACAGCUGUGGCUCAGUGGUAGAGUUGGUCAUUUCUAAAUUGAGGAUAGAAAUUCGAUCAAAGCUCUUACAGUUAUACCCCAGAUUGUUCGUUGUGAUACAGUUAGCAGUGUAUGAAUGUCACGCUACUAGAAGUGACAGUACUUAGCCUGAUGUUACCAGAUGUGCCGCUACUAGUCAUGAUGCUACUAGUCGUGAUGCUAAUAGAUGUAACGCUACCAGAGUUGAAGCUACUUGAUGGUAAUGUUACUGUAUGUGACACUGCUAGACGUGACGCUACCAGAAGUGAUGGUACUUAGCCUGGUGCUACUAAAUGUGAUGCUAAUAUAGAUGGCACUACUAGACGUGAUGCUACUUGACGUGGCGCCACUAUACAUGGCGCUACUAGACAUGAUGCUACUAGAAGUGAUGCUAUUGGAAGUGGCACUACUAGACGUGAUGCUACUAUACAUGGCGCUGCUAGAUGUGGUGCUACUAGAUGUGGUGCUACUAGACGUGGUGCUACUAGAUGUGGUGCUAAUUGAUGUCACUCUGCUUGGUGUCACCCUACUUGACGUCAGGCUACUUGAUGACGUGGCACGACUAGACGUGGCGCUACUGUACCUAGCGCUACUAUACCUGACGCUACUUGACAGGAUGCUACUAGACGUUUGGUGAUAUAAAACAGUAAAUGGUUUCAAGACCGGAGAUCUUUUACUUUGGUAAUAUUUUCAGCUUUACUUGAGAUAAAUAUUGAUAACUACAAAAUUGAUUAGAAUUUGAGAGUUGUAAGGAAAUGUGAGCUCUAACUUAAAUCGAGUCAAUUUUGAUACAUCUUUGCACCAAAUUGUAACAUGCACAAGGGUAGAUAGCACUGGUAUUGCAAAGGUGACUUUAGUUUUUCAUCUCGUCGUUUGCUGUGUGUUUUUACUCGCUGUUCAAAUAGAUCCUGGUUUUCACACUGUUAAAUUGCUUGUUAUAGAGCAUAUUCUCUUUUAAAAGUCGUCCUGUCCCCUGCUCUUGAAGUUCCUUUUGACUGAAAUUCCUCCUUUGUGACUAAACUGCAGUCACUUUCUAACUUGCUGCUUUAAAAAUGACCGAUUGAAGUGUCAUUUUCUAGAUGUUUGCAGCCAACAUGACACUAGAAUUAAGGUUUUGGAGGUUUAUCAAAGGACGUGACGUCAAAGAAAAUCCCCUUCCCCAUGCUUUCUCGCCUUUGAUACCAACCUUUGUCUAUUCUUUUGCGACCUUGACCUGUUCUCAAUAACCUCUGAACAAAUCGUUAUUCUAUACCUUCGUCCUCCUCUUCUCAUAAAUUCAUAAAUAUUGCAUACACCAGUUAUUCCUGCCCCGAGCUGUAUUCAGCCAGACUGCCUCCUAUAACACCACCCUGACAUUUCCUGAUGGAUAUGGAGACAGCUAUAGCAGAGCUUACCUCUGCUUCUUCCCCCUCCUGCUGCAUCUCACCUCCUUCCCACAUCCUCCCCUGUGUGCUACGCGAGGACAGAGGGAGACAGAUGAUGUGUGGGUCUCUGAGUGCAUGUGCGUAUCGCUCUGUCUCUCUGCAGGCUGUUUAUACUAGUCUGGAGUUUUCCCCUGAUGCCCGUAUGGCUAGCGUUGUGUCCCACCAGCCAACACAUAAACACACACACAUACAGGGACUCAAGAGACCAAACAUCUCAUUACUGCGAGUAGGAUAUGUGUGUUCAUGGCUGCUUUCGGGGCAGACACAGACAGUAAGUGCACUUGCUGCUGUGCUUGUUUGUAUGUGCGGGAGAGGAAAGAGGCAGAGAGUAGUUGUAUGCAUAUUUGUGUUGGAGUGUCUGUGUGUGAAGGAGUGAGACAAAAAUAUGUGUGAAUGUGUGUGCCUUUCACAGAGAUGGUGCUGUUUGGAUGGUGUAAGUGUGGUUGAGUUAAAAAUGCUGUCAGUAGACAGAUGGUUGUGAAAACUGCAGCUUCAUUUUAGAACAAAGGAGGAGAUGAACUCACCUAAGGUUAGGAAAUGUGUGUGUUAGUGUAGUGUGUUUGUGUGUAUGUAAUGGUAUGUGUCCUUCCUGCCUUUAAAUCAUAAUGAGAAUGAAGAAACCUUUAAACACGUUAAGGCGAAGGACAAACUGUGACUUAAAGUGGGGGUUAAAGGAAAGUUCCCACUGAUCAUGACUGUGGGCUCAUUGCGUAGACUUCAGUGAGGUGUGAAAGCAUUUGUUACAUGGAGGCAGGUUUUAAACUAACUUGGCGAACAAGCACUUCUAAGGUAAUGGAAAUAAUCCCUCAUUGCACAGAGAAACUGCAGACAUUAUAGCACUACUGUACAGCGCAGCACUGUUAAGAGUACAGAAGGUUUCUGAACAGGAGGAAAAGUUGAACAGUUCCAGCUCUAUUUUUGUUUGAAACUCUGUAAAGAUUUGAAUUAUUAUUAUUACUUUCAUAAAAGAAGAACAAUAUGGAAUCUAAAAAGAAAGUUUAAUUUAAAAAUGAGGGUGUCGGCUGGUUUGCAAACUGGACAAAUUUGCCCUCUAUCAUCGAACAAGUAGUUUGAAGCCAGCACCUUGGUUAUGAGCGUAAUAAGUCACAUUUUUCUUAGAUUUCCGUGGAAUUACAAGGAUAAAAUGGCUGGACAGGUGAUAUUUAAAAAGAAGGUUGAGAACAGAUGUCAGAUUAUCCUGGACUAGUACUCUAAUAACUGUUAGCUUUGAUAGCUUGGUAGUUGGUCAGGCAGCAUUAGUUUGCUUGCUGGGAGAAAGCAACAACAUCUAAGAGUGUCCAACUCAGAAACUGAGUCACUUAGAGAGGAAAACUUUGCAUAAGUCUGUCUUGACACAACCUGUGAUGCAAUACCAGUAUUCGCAGGAGCUUUACCAGAUUUGAGACGUACCACCAGUCUUAAGAUGAUAAGGUCUGUGGUUACGACUUUUGUUACUGAGAUUUACAACCAACUGCAUUAGCUUGUUUAUGUCAUUGCUUUGUGUCAUGGUUUGUUCAUCCAUCUAAGUCUAAAGAUGCCGACUAGUCAGCAUAACCUGAGUGUGGCAGAAGUGUUUGUUAAACUGGGAAGUUAAAGCUCCUGUAAGGAACUUCUGGUUUGUGUCGAUUUUGGUGCCCCCUAUGAUCAAACAAUCUUCGCUUAUCCUGUCCUCAAUAUGCUUAAAUACUGACUUUUGACAAAAACUGUAAUGCUUCUGACUUUUAAUGGACAAAUGACAAUUUGUGUGAAAUUUUUUAGUAAAAAUGGGAAAAUCAGGGCUGUAUUCAGCUGCAAUCUGACACCUACCCCACGCAUUAAAAAUUACAAUAUAAAAUCUUCAAUCUUGUUGCUGACAGUCUUGUUUGCUUUUGGAUUUCAUAAAAAAGCAUCAAUGUGAAUUUCAGUAAAUUCUAUAAACAUCAAAAAACUCCCUAUAGGAGCUUUAAAGACACAAAUUGAAUCCAUACAAGAGUUUCUGUGAGAAUCUCAUCAACUAUUUAAGAAGAAAAAAACAGUUUUGACUUUUUUCAUUCCUUUAAUUUUACCACUACAUCAUUGCUCUUCUGAAAUGACACAUCAAGCUGUGUCAUACAGUGUUGGUUUCUAUCUUAGUUUGUCUGACUUAGACUUAGAUAAUCCAUGAAGAUAGCUGUAUGGACAAAUUUUCUUAUUUCACCACAUGUCAUCAUUCAAAAUCGAACGCACUGGUGUUAAGCUUCCUGUCUACUGUGUUGGAUUUAUUUCUAAGUUUAUUACAGUACAAACAUUGUGAAGUAAUUGGAAAAUAACACCUCAUUCCUCAGUUUUACCACUCUGUUUGCCCAUAACAACCAUCACUCCUCUUAUUUAUUAAAGUGCUUUUUAGAUGGCUUCACAUGCUUCUCUCACAGUGAAGUUAGAGACGCCACAAAGUACAGCUGUUAAUCUUUUGAAAUAAGAAAUAUUGUCUUAUUUAUACUGAUUCUCCAAAGGGAGAGAGGGAGAGGAGGAUUUAAUACCAGAUCAGACACAAAACAGUAGAAAUUCCUCUUGAAGGAGAGCACUUCAUCUGCACAUGUGCCCACUAGAUUUAAGUAAUGGCGCAGCUUCUCCUUCGCAGAGCAUUUUUCAUCUUCACGACUUCAUUUCUUAUGAUGAAUGCAUCCCCAUUGUUCCAUACACUAGGUCAUUUUCGCUAAUUUAUAGAGAUAAAAUAGCCCGAUGUAGCAAAUCACAGAUAAUGACGCAAAUGUGGGGAAGGUUGAAUGAAAGAGAGAAGAAGCAAAUAGAUGUUUUAGAGAGGUUUAAAUCUGCCUGUGUGUCCCGUUUUCAAUAUGUGUGAAUGCCCUCCAUCCGUCACCUCACCUUAUUCUUCCUACAUGCCUACCCAUACUCCCUUGCUAAUAUGUGUACAUUAUGUGAAGAGAUUCUAUAUAAGCCACUGGACAUGCAGCUGCAUAGAGAAAUGACUCACAGGAGACUUAGCGUACAGACAAAUCCCAGUCAGCGGUGCACAUGCGGUAUGAGGGGGAUGCGGGGAGCAUGGUGGUGAAAGCAUUAUCAUAAAUAAAAACUGAACAGUGAGAGUCUCUGCCAAAGAUCCUUAAUCUUCCCUCUGUUUGUUUGUGUGGCAUCCAGAGAUAAAACUGUGAGGCAGAAGCUUUUCUCUGCUUGUACAUAGAGGUUUGCUGUUCUUGUGAGAACCGGUCUAGAGUUUGAAACAGUGAUGGUUUAGAAAUUCAGACUCAUUUGUUUUGAUCGUUUCCUCUCUGACAUUCAUACCUCAUUUAGAACAAAGGUUAAAGCUCCUAUGAGGAGUUUCUACUCAUUGAAGAGAGAGACUGAAGUUCACAUUACUACGUUUUCAUGAUAUCUAAAAGCAAAUGAGAAGAUUUACAAACAUUUUAUUGUAAUUUUUAAGGCCUGAAACCAGUGUGCGGGGUCAGUGUCUGUCAGGCAGGUAAAAACAAACGGGCAAAACCCACAGGAUCCAAACAGCUCCGCUCUGCUGUGACACGGCAGGUGGAUCAAAUACCCAAGCAUUAUAAUCAAUGUGUGUGAUUCCACAGAAUCCGUCCGGCAUCCGGCUCCACUGUGGAUCGGCUCCGGCAGCCGGAUCAGAUACGCAAGGCUUCUAUUAUAGCCAGUGCAUCAAUCCAGCGCAGCACAGCACAAGCAGCAGCGGAAGUUGUAUUCGGUUACAGAGUAAAAUAGGGUUGUCGGAUGUGGUUGUUUAUAUACACCGCCAUUUAUAUACACGGAUCGGCAGAUCUCAUUCUAUGACUCCCGGGGAACACGCGAGAGCUCGUCCAGUCUCGCGAGAAAUAUCGGUAAUCUCCCGAGUGCUUCUCCUCCGAUGGUGGCGGUGGAUCAGAUCCGGUGGGCACUGUUUGCUUGCGGAUCUGAUCUACCUGCCGGUGGGGAGUGGAGUGGAGCCAUUCCGGAUCCAGUGGGAUUCCCGGGGAAAGGGUUGUUGAACAAUUUCCAACCCAAAUAUUCAGACCGUAUACUAUAUAUACUGUGGACAACUUGGUUUCACCUUUUGCCAGUGUAAGAAUUUGAAGCCAGAAAGCUCUCUGUAUUUUUGGUUUUUUUCUCCACUUUCUAAAAAAACAACAUUGAGCAGUAGCGUUGUACGCAGUCGGCGGGAGAGUUGCUGUGAUGACGCUCGGCUCAAACAGUGUAUUUCCCUGGUGAGCUACGCAAUCUUCAUACACCCAUAGGCUGUAUCAAGUGUCAAUCAUAGAAAACAUGAAACACCUAAUAACUUUUAAAAAUGGAGCUGAGCGGAGAAAACUUCAUAUUCUGUGUAAUUAAUUUCUAAAGUUUGUCCACAGCUCCAUAGGAAUUGCUGGAGGAGGUGGGAUUUAUGACCUAUACUGCAGCCCGUCACCAGAGGGUGCUGUUCUCAAGUGGCUUCACUCAGCGAGGAGGCAGACGGCAUCCGUUCUAUAUACAGUCUAUGAUUCAGAGUAAAGAGUACAUUUGACUAACCAGCACAUAUGCAUUUUGUGUCAGAUGGUUCUUGGUGAUCUGAAUCAUCUUCUCUUCUUCUAUCUUCUCUCUUUUCUUUUUAUACCUCUGAUCUGAUCUCAAAGGCUUCUUCAUAAAAGGACUGAAAAACUGAAGAAGCUCUUUGGAUUUGAGGUGAAACAUCCUUAAGAACUUCUACCAUGUUCAGCCACCUUUUGAACAACUUUUAAUUACGUGUUAUGUGACUGAAAAGGUGGUCAGCUCUGAGGAGAACUCAACAUGGACUUUCUAUUUCUCAAGAGAACUGAACUCUGGUCACUUAAAGGAAAUUUUGCUUCAUUUUGAACACUGACCUGCAGACCUUUUGCUCCUUUAAACAAAGUCAACUGCAGCAUUUAAUCAAUAAGUUAGAGACGAGCUUUGAAAAUGACUCUAUAGAAGUUUAUUUGGAGUUGUUUGUGAUGUUCUAGACUGCUGUUGUGUCGCCGUAUUCAAUAACAAUAAGCUUAUAUCUAAUCAAGUAUUUCUUAAUAACACUUAAAAGAAUCUGUUGAUGUUUGUGUUUUUAAGAUUCAAACCCGUAGCUAUCAGUGUUUUCGCGGGUCUUCCUCUCUGAGAUGAUAAUAUUAUUCAGAGUUAACACCGCAUUCAAACAGCCUGAGUUAUUGUCCUUUAAGGGAAUAUUCAUGAGGCGGAAAAAGUCUUUAUCCAUCAUUUGAUUUAAGUACUUUUCAGCCGCAACAGAAACCAAACAGCCUGGAGCUCAUUAGAUAUGCUGAGUCAUUACUGGUCAAGGAAAAGCUGAGUUGGCAGAAUGCUGCUGCUGCUGCUGCUGCUGCAGCUCGAUGUACAUGAGGUAGACCUGCCUGUGUUGUGUUGUUUUCUCUUUGAUUCAGUCAGAUGUAUUCGAGUUUUGUUUUUCUUAACACGUCAAAAUCUUUGCUGUUUUUUAUCAGAAACAAAAUGUAUAGAGUGAUGACUCAGUAGAUUGUGAUAAGAGUUGAUGUGAAAAAUGAUGGAAAGUCUGAGUGUUUUGAAAUAAGUUAUUCCCGGCUGAAAUCACAGUGAGGUCCGUCUUGAAAUAUGCAUGCAAUGCAGAAACUUGUCCUAGUUGUUUAACUUUGCUACAGCAGCACUCUCUCCUGAUUUUGUAGAAAUCCUCUAAUUCACCUCAAAUGAGAAAAGGAAUAAGAAUAACUUUAUUUAUCCCCGAAGGGAAAUUCAACUGUCUGUACUUGUCUCAUUUGUCACUUCUCAACAAGUCAUCUACCAUUUAAAGUAUUAAUUUUUAAAGUGAUCUACUAUUUAUUUAUACUAUUUAAUCUACGUUCUGAUGAUUUCAAGCAAAAACAUUUUUAUUACAGGCUUUAACAAAAAUGUUAAUACCGACUAUUUAACACUAUACUCAACAACAUUUCUUCAAAAUGGUAAUAGAUGGGCAUGAUCCAACGAGAUUACUUUUCUGUAGUUUUCAAAUACAGCAUGGACUGGACUACUUCCUGGAAAUAUGACCUCUCUAAGCCUUGCCGUCUCUGCAACAUUGAGACAAAUGUUUUACAAAUGUAUUAAAUGAUUGGACAGACAUAGACUGUAUAUAGAAUGGACACUGUCUUCCUCCUCGCUGGGUGAAGCCACCCCAAGAACAGCACCCUCUGGUGAUGGGCUGCAGUAUAGGUCAUAAAUCCAGCCUCCUCCAGUAAUCUCUAUGGAGCUGUUGACAAACUUAAGAAAUUUAUUACAUUUGUUACAAGUUUUCUCCCCCCUGCUUGAGGUGUUGACAUGUAGUUACCAGUCAGGGUGAACUAAACUGAGAUGGUCCACUCUUUGGAAGAUUGCAUGUUUACGCUACUAACCUGAUGUUGACACAGCAUAGCAACAGGUGGCUAACGGCUAACCAGUUAGUAACUUUAACGCCUUUAUCACCUACAUUUUCAAACUUCCAAUUUCGGGGGUUCUGUCUUGAAAAAACAUUUGAAUUAAAACCAAAUAUGAUUAUCGAGGGUUGAUCAUAUUCUGAAUCCCCAAAAAGAGGACACGACUACGCGAGUCACGGAGUCACGCAUAGUUAAUUUUGAGAGUUUUUAAGGUCUGAUUAAGUGUUUUUCACACGCUCCUAACUCAGUAAGUCCACGUGACACAAACUCAAAACUUCAAUACAAAACCCCGGACAUUUGAAGGAUUUUAUAAACUCCUCGGACAACCCCCCUAAAAGAGGACAUGUCUGGGUAAAAGAGGACGUAUGGUCACCCUAGAUUACCUUACAGUGUAUUACUCAGCAGUCCAAGAACCCUCAUCUUGAUUGUAUUGGUGCAAAGAAUCAUGGGAUAAGUGGGGCUGCAGAGGAUCCAACGCACCUGAUGCAACCUUCAUGUUCUGGGAAAAGUAGGACACAUCUGUCAGACAUAUUUUGAGGAGCCUUAGAAAUGGGGCAGCCUUUGAUGCGCUGCUUCAGUCUUCAGAUGUAGCCUUCGAAGGCUGCAACCCUGAAUUGGGACACAGAUAUAGACGCCAAACCAAGACAGACAGAGUGACUCCAUGUCCUCCUGUGGUGCAAAAGUGAAGCCACAAUACCCCCAUUAAUGGGCGUUGAAGUCUUUUGCAUUUGGUAACAGAAUCUUUUGUUUCUACGGUUCAACCCAUAAACCAUCUGUUUACAUGGAGGAGACAGGUUUUUAGGAUCUGUACAAAAGCCAACCAGUCCAAACUGUUUUGGCUUCACUUUAGGGAGUGUAUAAUGUAGUCCAUCUUUUUAGGUUUUGGUCAGCCAUGUUUCUGAUGGCGCUCAGCAGUCAGGUUGAAGGUUCGGUUUGACAUUUAUCUCAUAAAUGUAAGUCAGUGGAGUAGUGCUGGGCGAUAUGGAAAAAAAUGUAUAUCACGAUAUGGAUCAUUUUAUAUCACGAUAACGAUAUAUAUCACGAUAUAGCUAUGGUAUACUUUCAGUUCUAUGAAAAAUUUAAGUGUAUACAGCUGCACUAGUACAGUACCAGUACAAGACCAGCACUUAAAACUAGAAAAAUGAAUAAAUAAAUACGUGGCUGAAGUGCGUUCAUGUCUGUGCUCACCCAAAGUUAUGCAACACUCACAGAAAACGCCGAUAGUGUGAGCCAAAGCACUCCAUAAUAAUAAUAAUAAUAAAUUUAAUUUGUA